rnacentral:lncRNA from 1 species
AUGCCCGCCUGCUUGGGCCUGGCUCCCAGGAUGUGCUUGGCAAAUGCUUCUGGGAUGGAUGGAUGGAUGGAGUGCUGCACGUGGGACUUAGCCUUGGACACUAACUCCUUUGCCCCUCGUAUCUGGGAGGGAACAACACAGUUGCUAUGCCUGACUAGGGCAUGACCUGGGAGGCCUUUGGGGCCACACAGCCUCCUUGGGAAAGGAGGAUCAGGUGGGCCUCACACCCAGGAAUUGGAAGUGGGAGAGACAACAGCUGCUGGGUAGUGGGGGUAGAGCUGUGUCUCUCACUGCCCUGCCCCUCCAAGGACCAAGAAGAAAGGAAUGAGCCCCGAUCCGCCUGCCAGUAGAGAUGGGGUUCCAUCCAUCCAUUCCAGAAGCAUUUGGCAAGCACAUCCUGGGUGCCAGGCCCAAGCAGGCUGGUCUCAAACUCCUGACCUCAAGUGAUCCGCCCACCUCGGCCUCCCAAAGUGCCGGGAUGACAGCUGUGAGCCACCGCGCCCCGCCCAGAAGCAGAGGUGUUUUAACGGGAAGACUUCAGGCUUCAUCGGACGGCCGGGAAGGAAUCAGAGCAGGGGUUUCUUCCGAGAUGGCCAGUGGUCACCUGAGAUGGAGCAGAGAGCACCUGUGGCGGGCAUCUUCUCUAGAAGCCGCCUGUGAGCCCUACGGAGGCCCUGGGCUUCGUGCCGUAAGACAGACGGUGUCCUGCAGGUACGUGGGGGAACCCUGUAGGCAGGGACUUUGCCUGCUUUCUCAGAACAGGACAGAGGAGUUUGGCUGGGGCAGCCCGAGGUGACCGGGAUGCUGUCGCCCCAGCUCUGGGCCAGGCUGAUGUGGGAAGGGAGGAAGGAGGGACAGUUACGGGCCAGGCUGACGUGGGAAGGGAGGGAGGAGGGAGGUAGGAGGGACAGAGGCCUGGCUGCUCUGCAGGGCUGGGCUCCGUGGCAUCUCCUGGUGGCUGUCAGGUCCUGCCUGGCCCCACGCUGAGGCCAGUGUGAUGGAGGGGCCUGGAAGCCUCAUCCUUCUUGAUUGCCACGCGGUGAGGGCCACAGGCAUGCGCCACCGCACUGGACUCCCCCUUUCAUCAUCAAAGCCAAAUUUUCUUCUUGUUUCAUCUAGGCCUCCC